rnacentral:lncRNA from 1 species
AACUCUUUGAGGGGUCCGUAGGUGGCCUGUUGCAAGGCAAAAUUUCUGUCUCUAUCCAAUAUACCCUCAUUUUCCAGUGGCAGUCCAAAUUUCCCCGACCAUCAUCCUAGAUGGCCUCUAUUACAACAACCUACCUAUUGUAUUUAUUGUGAACUUGUUCUCGUCCUGAAUAUGCAUGAAAUAUUUGCCACUGGACGUUAAGCAACCAAC